AGCAGUAUGGUGUAAUGCUGCACACGGGGCUGUUUUGCUAGUCGUAUCCAUAAAGAAAUUAACCCCAAGGUCCUUUUUCGAACCAAGGUACUGCUC